rnacentral:rRNA from 1 species
CUAAACUGAGGGAGGUACGUCGAAACUGAUUGGCUCGAGGAACGUAGAGGAAGGCGGAACUCUCGGAGUAGCGGUGAAAUGCGUAGAGACCGAGAGGUACCCCGAUGGUGAAGACAGCCUUCUGGGCGUUUCCUGACGCUGAAGCGCUAAGGCCAGGGGAGCGAAGGGGAUUAGAUACCCCCGUAGUCCUGGCUUCAAACGAUGUGGGCUUGGUGUCGGCUCCCGACAGAGAGUCGUUGCCGGAGUUAACGCGUUAAGCCCACCGCCUGGGGACUACGUCCGCAAGGAUGAAACUCAAGGGAAUUGACGGGGGCCCACACAACCGGUGGAGCACGUGGUUUAAUUCGAUGAUAAGCGAAGAACCUUACCAGGGCUUGACCUAGCGGUGGUAGGACCCUGAAAGGGGAACGACCUCAAGCUUUGCUUGAGGAGCC